rnacentral:rRNA from 1 species
UGGGCUCACAACGAACUCAAGCGGCGUGCCUAACACAUGCAAGUCGAACGAGAAAUGUGCUUCGGCCCUGAGUAAAGUGGCGCACGGGUGAGUAACACGUGGGUAACCUGCCUCUGAGAUGGGGAUAACCUGUCGAAAGACGGACUAAUACCGAAUAAGACCACAGUUUCCUUGGAAACAGGGGUCAAAGGUAGCCUCUACUUGUAAGCUACCACUUAGAGAUGGGCCUGCGUACCAUUAGCUAGUUGGUGGGGUAACGGCCUACCAAGGCAAAGAUGGUUAGCUGGUCUGAGAGGAUGAUCAGCCACACUGGAACUGAGACACGGUCCAGACUCCUACGGGAGGCAGCAGUGGGGAAUAUUGAGCAAUGGGCGCAAGCCUGACUCAGCAACGCCGCGUGGAUGAAGAAGGCCUUCGGGUUGUAAAAUCCUUUUCUGAGGGACGAUAAUGACGGUACCUCAGGAAUAAGUUCCGGCUAACUACGUGCCAGCAGCCGCGGUAAAACGUAGGGGACAAGCGUUAUCCGGAUUUACUGGGCGUAAAGCGCCCGUAGGCGGCUUGACAAGUUGGAUGUGAAAGCUCCCGGCUUAACUGGGAGAGGUCAUUCAAAACUGUCAGGCUAGAGGAUGGAAGAGGAGAGCGGAAUUCCCGGUGUAGUGGUGGAAUGCGUAGAGAUCGGGAGGAACACCAGUGGCGAAAGCGGCUCUCUGGUUCACACCUGACGCUGAGGGGCGAAAGCGUGGGGAGCGAACGGGAUUAGAUACCCCGGUAGUCCACGCUGUAAACGAUGGAUACUAGGUGUAGGGGGUCAUUAACCCCCUCUGUGCCGCAGCAAACGCGUUAAGUAUCCCGCCUGGGGAGUACGGCCGCAAGGUUAAAACUCAAAGGAAUUGACGGGGGCCCGCACAAGCAGCGGAGCGUGUGGUUUAAUUCGAUGGUACGUGAAGAACCUUACCUGGGUUUGACAUACAGGUAGUAGCAAGGUGAAAGCCGAGCGACCCUUCGGGGAGCCUGAACAGGUGCUGCAUGGCUGUCGUCAGCUCGUGUCGUGAGAUGCUGGGUUAAGUCCCGCAACGAGCGCAACCCCUGUCCUUAGUUGCCAGCGGAUAAUGCCGGGGACUCUAGGGAGACUGCCGGUGACAAACCGGAGGAAGGUGGGGAUGACGUCAAGUCAUCAUGCCCCUUAUGUUCUGGGCUACACACGUGCUACAUUGGCCGGUACAAAGGGCUGCAAACCCGUGAGGGGGAGCGAAUCCCAAAAAGCCGGUCCCGGUUCGGAUUGGAGGCUGAAACUCGCCUCCAUGAAGGCGGAGUUGCUAGUAAUCGCGGAUCAGCAACGCCGCGGUGAUAUCAUCCUCGGCGUGCACACACCGC